rnacentral:rRNA from 1 species
GACGAACGCUGGCGGCGUGCUUAACACAUGCAAGUCGAACGAAGUGGCGAACGGGGGAGUAACGCGUAAUCAACCUGCCCUUCAGAGGGGGACAACAGUUGGAAACGACUGCUAAUACCGCAUACUGAAGGAGGGGAUUGUGUCUGAUUAGCUAGUUGGAGGGGUAACGGCCCACCAAGGCGAUGAUCAGUAGGCGGGCUGAGAGGAUGAACGGGCAAAUUGGGACUGAGACAAGGCCCAGAAUCCCACGGGAGGCAGGAGUGGGGAAUCUUCCGCAAGUGACGAAAGGCUGACGGAGCAACGCCGCGUGAGUGAUGACGGCCUUCGGGUUGUAAAGCUCUGUUAAUCGGGACGCGGUACCGGAAUAGAAAGCCACGGCUAACUACGUGCCAGCAGCCGCGGUAAUAC